UUCAUCGCCGGCUAGUACGAGCACGGCGAGGGAGCAAAUCCUGAACAGCUGCAACGAUAUCUUGAACGCUCACUACGAUCGAAUGCCCAAUGGAUAUGAAUCCGAAGUGACUAAUCCUCAAGAUGUACUCAACGCCUCCGACUUCUGAAACGAGCAGAAGAAUCUCGUAUGCUUGCGCAUGAGAUAUGGCCAGGAGAAAAACAGGAAGCUCCAACUUUCAAAAUCGCCGUUGCUAGCGUCUACGAGUCAGACCUUCACGAUGAGCUUAAAGCCACCAUCUCUGACAAAGGAAUGGAGAUUCUGUUUGGGGAUACGUUUAGAACGAGGGAUGGGUACUACGCCUUAGACUUGUUUCGGGUUAUUGCUUAUCAUGACCUUGAAGAAUUCUCAAAUGUGCUUAAAGCUGCAAUCACUGAUAUUGAGAAAGCAAAUACAUUGACUUGGGGGGUCUAGUUAUUGGAGAAAACAUCUCUUCUCAUGUGUAUCAAGGUACACUCCAUUCUAAAGAAGUUUGUGUAAGAGAGUUGCAAACCGAUCCAAGCCUUUGGCAACCAUCACGGUUUUGGAAAAAAAAUGAAACUGUUCAGUGGACUUGGUCAUCCCAACGUGGUACGAUGUCUUGGUGCCAACACACAAGGCACCGAUUUGAAAAUAAUCACAGAGUACAUGCAUGGUGGAACCCUCUUUGACUACUUGCAACGAAAUCAUUGUGUUUUGACUCUCUCUCAACGGUUUAAGAUGGCCAUUGAUGUGUGUAAAGGAAUCGAGUUCCUGCAUGCGAACAUGAUCAUACAUAGAAAUCUGAACUCUAUGAAUCUUCUCUUGGAUGAGAAUAAUGCAAGGGAAGUGAAUAAUUGAGUUUUCAACACUUUUUCAUAAUCUAAAGCAUUCUCCUAUGUCUUCCAUUUUAUCUAAGGUUGUCAAGGUUGAUGUUGCUGCUGCUAUGUACCUCUUGUGGGCUGGGAAGAAUACCACCCCUGAACUGGAAGCUAUGUUGUUGAGUCUUCCAACCCCUGAGCAGAAUA